rnacentral:rRNA from 1 species
AGAUUGAACGCUGGCGGCAGGCCUAACACAUGCAAGUCGAGCGGUAGAGAGGUGCUUGCAUCUCUUGAGAGCGGCGGACGGGUGAGUAAUGCCUAGGAAUCUGCCUAGUGGUGGGGGAUAACGUUCGGAAACGGACGCUAAUACCGCAUACGUCCUACGGGAGAAAGCGGGGGACCUUCGGGCCUCGCGCCAUUAGAUGAGCCUAGGUCGGAUUAGCUAGUUGGUGAGGUAAUGGCUCACCGAAGGCGACGAUCCGUAACUGGUCUGAGAGGAUGAUCAGUCACACGUGGAACUGACGACGACGGUCCAGACCUCCGUACGGGAGCAGCGAGUGGGAAUAGUUAGGACAAGUGGGACGAAAGCCUAGACUCCAGCCAUCGCCGCGUGUGUGAAGAGGUUCGUACG